rnacentral:piRNA from 1 species
UAAUGUUGAAGGACCAGGAAAUAUGAAU